GAUGAACGCUGGCGGCGUGCUUAACACAUGCAAGUCGAACGAUGAAGCCCAGCUUGCUGGGUGGAUUAGUGGCGAACGGGUGAGUAACACGUGAGUAACCUGCCCUUAACUCUGUGAUAAGCCUGGGAAACUGGGUCUAAUACCGGAUAGGAGCGCCUACCGCAUGGUGGGUGUUGGAAAGAUUUAUCGGUUUUGGAUGGACUCGCGGCCUAUCAGCUUGUUGGUGUGGUAAUGGCUCACCAAGGCGACGACGGGUAGCCGCCCUGUGAGGGUGACCGGCCACACUGGGACUGAGACACGGCCCAGACUCCUACGGGAGGCAGCAGUGGGGAAUAUUGCACAAUGGGCGAAAGCCUGAUGCAGCGACGCCGCGUGAGGGAUGACGGCCUUCGGGUUGUAAACCUCUUUCAGUAGGGAAGAAGCGAGAGUGACGGUACCUGCAGAAGAAGCACCGGCUAACUACGUG
rnacentral:rRNA from 1 species